AGCGAACGCUGGCGGCAUGCCUAACACAUGCAAGUCGAACGAACCUUUCGGGGUUAGUGUCGGACGGGUGAGUAACACGUGGGAACGUGCCUUUAGGUUCGGAAUAACUCAGGGAAACUUGUGCUAAUACCGAAUGUGCCCUUCGGGGGGAAGAUUAAUCGCCUUUAGAGCGGCCCGCGUCUGAUUAGCUAGUUGGUUGAGGUAAUGGCUCACCAAGGCGACGAUCAGUAGCUGGUCUGAGAGGAUGAUCAGCCACAUUGGGACUGAGACACGGCCCAAACUCCUACGGGAGGCAGCAGUGGGGAAUCUUGCGCAAUGGGCGAAAGCCUGACGCAGCCAUGCCGCGUGAAUGAUGAAGGUCUUAGGAUUGUAAAAUUCUUUCACCGGGGACGAUAAUGACGGUACCCGGAGAAGAAGCCCCGGCUAACUUCGUG
rnacentral:rRNA from 1 species